rnacentral:tRNA from 1 species
GGGCUCGUGGUCUAGCGGCUAUGACGUCUCCCUGACACGGAGGAGAUCACCGGUUCGAAUCCGGUCGGGCCCA